rnacentral:lncRNA from 1 species
UGCAGUAUCACAGACCCCAAAAACAGUUUCUAGCUGAGUAAUUAAAACCAAAUGAUCUACAGCGUCAAAAGCGGCACUGACAUCAAGAAGGAUCAAAAUUGAAAGAUAACCAGAAUCUGAGGCAAUUAACAAAUCAUUAGUAACCUUGACCAGUGCUGUUUCAGUACUAUAGAAUUUGCGGAAGCUGUGAGAUAUAAACUCAAAAUUGCAAGAACAAAAGUAUCUCAAAAUUAUGAGAUAAAAAGUCACACUCUCUUUUUAUAUAUAUAAAGACCAGCAAAAAGCGAAGUCUGGUAAGAUUCCAAAUAAUUUUGAAAGUUUCUCUGUUUUGAGCUGAAAGUGAUCUAACUAUUCAAACAUUAGCAUUAGAUGUAUGUAUGUUUCUAAAGAUAUUUUUUGAUAAAUGUCAUGGUCUCAACUUGUUUUUCAGUCAAAAUCUCUUUGUGUGAUUUCAGGUUUUUUUGUAAUAGCUGUUGUUUCUGUGGGUUUGCUCCUGCUGGCUCUGGUUAUAGCCUUAAUCUUAUUCAAACUGAAACACAACAAACAUGGCAUCAUUUCAUCAAAAGACAGAAGACAGACAGGGGAUCAUGAAACGACUCAAGAAGACAUUCAAGACACCAGGCACCUUGAUCCUGAAUCAGAUCCUCUCUAUUCAACAGUCGAGUUACCCACAAACCCCUCUGAUUCACAGAAUCCACUUUACUCAGCAGUUCAGUUACCCACAAACCCCUCUGAUGGGCUCCUGUACGCUGCUGUCAGUUUCCAGAAGCAUGAAGAGUGUCGCAGCGACGCUACAGUCAGAUUCAGAAAAGAGGAGACUCACUGUGAUUAUGCAUCUGUCAGUCACAGUAUCACACCAAAAAAUUAUUAGCACUGGAUUUUUGUUUUAUACACAUCUUGUCAUUGAAAUAAUGACUGAGCUGCUUGUAACAAUCAUUCAGUUUCACUGAACAAGUUAUUGAGCAGUCAGCGACAUCUACAGGUCACUGUUGGGAACGAAGCGGAAAUGUUUCUCAGUGCCUUAAGAAAACAUUGAAAUCUAUGUGAACUGAAGACAGAAUUUUUUUUUUUAUCCUUUCAUAAAAGCGUUUUUAAUCUUUGGAAGCAUCAGUUUGUCAGAAGAGAAGCAUUAGGUUACGAACAGUGACAAUUAAGAUAAAAGCCUUCAGAGCUGAUGUAAGUCCAAAUCAAUGUUGUGUUCUGUCCUCCCACAAAGUAUCAGUCGAUGAACUCAAUGCAGACGUUUUCAUCGACUGACAUCAAGAGAGCAUCUGAAGCCACUCUGAGCAUGUGAGGACUUAUUAAAAUAAUUCAGUGAUCUGAAAUAAAGGAUGGAUCUCAUCAUCAUAGUCUUGAGAUCACAAGUGUAUGUGAACCUGGUCUUA